GCUGUGGCUCAGUGGAGAGCAUCUGCUUUGAAUGCAGAAGGUCCUAGGUUCAAUCCCCCACAUCACCA